CUCUUUCUCUCUCUCUCUCUCACCCUCAGCUCUUUUGCUUUUCCUGGGUCUUGUGAGAGAAGGAGGGGGGUGGAGGGAGAGAGAGAGAGAGAGAGAGAG